GGGGCGGACUAGCAAAAAAACACACAUCUCUAUCGCCCCCUCACACAGAAAUACCAACCUCACCUCUCUCCUCUCGUCACCCACACCCUAAACCUAACCCGAUUCCGCCGCCGCCGCCCCCGCCCGUCUGCGCCGCGGCCCCCGACCUGCGCGCCGCCGCCCUUCCACUGGUCCCCUCGCGCCACAUCAUCCCGACCCCAACCUCCCUCUAGCCCACAGUGCACCAUCCUCCCAGUAGCAGCAAGCCGUCCACCGCGACAGGAGCAGCAGCGGCACCGAGGAGAAGAAGCGCCGUCAACCACCACCGGAUAGAUGCAGCAGCACCUUCCACCAGUGAGGAGAAGCAGUACCGUCAGCCACGGAGGAUCCACCGUGGUUCUUCCUCCAUCGGCAAUGUCUGUUCCUGCUGAUCUUCUUUCCUCCGCCCAGCCUACAAAAUUAAAGAGGGGAGAUCGGGAUGCUGCGCGCCGCGCCCUGCUUGGAUCUGAUGGAGCGGGCGAGAUAGUGGUCGGGGCAUGGGAUGGCGCCUUCGUCGUCAGACCAUUGGGAUUCAGCAUAUUUCUGCAGUCUUCUUUAGAGAUCAGGAGGGUUCGAUUCAACACAAUUCCGGGCUUGGGUUCCUGUCGAACAAAAUCAUCUCGACAGCAUUCCUCUUUCUUGCUUCUUAUUAGUCAAACUCUGAAAUCAAUUUCUAUAUUUUAGUGGGUACUUAAUUGAUUUGAUAGGCUAUAUCUACGUGUGAUGCAUCAACUAGGCUUUGUAAAUGGAUACAUAGUGUUUUCUGGUUAUUUCUUCAAUAAUUAUGUGUUCCCAUUUCUCCCACUCAACAUGUUACAGAAUUUAGUGAUUAACAUUUAUCUACCGAAUUACAAUUCAGUCAAGAAUUACAAUCUUUAUGCCAAAACUAAACAAUAGAAAAAAGUCUGCGUGGGAUUUGUAUUGCCAGCUAUGGCUUCAAAAAACAAAACCAAUAGUAAGUUAUUUAUGUACUAAUUCCCCUAAUGAUAUUAGCAUAUGUUGUUUGAAUUUAACUAUUGAAGAGCACAUGAAUGGUACUAGCAUCUAGGAUUGAGGGAUUAAAAGUUUACAAAAUUUCAAAGAAAUUGUAUGUUGGUUUCAUCUCUUUGUUGUUCUGAAAUUGCCGCCCUUGUUGAAUUGUUCUCUAUCACAUCUAAAGCAAAAUUUUACAGUUAGCAUAUGUGAUGGACUAUAUUUUUAAUUGGGGCUCGAGUAUAAUGGACUGGGAAUCAUUCUCUUAAUGAUCUGGUACUCUUGAACUCGUGCAUGAAACGUGCUUUUGUCAUAUAUAUUUCUCCCGAGGUUUGUGGGGAAUAAGAAAUUUAGAUAAAGAUAUGAUAUCUACACAUAUAGUAUAUCUUCAAGUCUGAAAGUCAGUCUUUCACUGUCCCUUUGAACCUUCUUCCCAACCUUUGAGGAUGUACAUAGCACCCUGCAGAGAUAACUUUUUUUAGAUGUGUAGAGCACUUCUUGAUGUUCAUCUUACCAUCUAGAUCUCACAUGUAACAACUAUGCGGUAGAAUAAACUUUUGCGAACACAAGAAAAAAUUGCAUUCUGCUGGAUUUUCUGUUACAGUUUUCAUGUUGUUUUUUUCCUGUUGAGGGGGACUAUUCAAAUAUACUGAUGGUAUAAAAAAACCUAUGUAUACAUUAACAUCAAACAAUUAUGCAGAAAGUGGACCUUUUAAGUUCAGGAAAACCGCUUGAUGUCAUUUCACUCGGUAAAUGUCAGUCUGGUUUAGUGUUCUCUAAAGCUAUUUGACCCCAGCUACAUGGUCCAGUAGCAAUAACAGCCACAUGAUGGCCAAUUCAGAAAUACCUUUAGUGAUAUGUUGGAGUACAACCACAUGGUUAGAGUUUCCAUGUUAAAUCACUCCUUUCUUUUAUUAAUACUUAUUUGGUGAAGUUCUUGGCUGCAAUAUUACAAAGUUCAUGUGAAUGUUGUAUUGAAAAGAGAGGUGGAGCUUGCUUGUGGAUAUGAUGGAAUGCAAACAAUGGGCGAUGCUCACCACAUGUCCAUUGCAUGGCCAUCAAAUAGGAUCAAACCUUGCUCCAAGUCAUGGUUGUCGUCAUCGCAGAGUUCGGUUAUUAUUCCUGUCAACAUCACCAUGUUCUAUCUGACACUUGGAACUGAGGGCAAGUAGUAUACCACUACCAGUACCUCUAGUAGUGUGGAUCAACAUGUUUUUGCAAUUCUGUUGUCGAAAGUAUUUUAUUUUCAUUCAUCUAGUAUUGUGGAUCGGCAUGUUUUGUCUAGUUUAUAUUACAUCUGUUUGUGACUUGGUACAUCUAUUUCUGACCUGUUUGUGUCCUGGUGCAAUCUUCAAUGCUUGUUUUUCUAUUUCUCGUUCCUCGUUCUGUCCUAUGGAGAAUGGGGAAAACAUGUGAAAGCUCAAGAUCUUUCUGUAACUAAAAGUUCUAUCAUAUGCACUAGUUCAAUCCCAUUAAAGUUCCACUAAUGCACUAAAAUUUAUCAUUCCUGCUAUUUAUUCCUAGAAUUUACUGGCCUUAUCUCUCCACCUGAAUCUUUGGUUGAUUGUUCCUCCUAUACUGGAUCAUAUUUACUGGCCUUAUCUCUCCACAUGAAUCUUCGGCUCCCCUGCUAUUUGAUGUUGAAGAACUAACAAGUACCGAUGGUUUCCUUAGGUAGGAAACAUCAUUUUGUACUAUAUCAUCUCUUUUGGACUGAAAAUAUAGAACAUAUAUGUUUUGUACAGAACUUUUAGCAGCAGUCACCACACUAUUUUUUAUCAUGUCUUUUGGACUGAAAUAAAUAACAUUUUGUACAGUAUAUAACUAGCUAUGAGGAUGCUGAUUGUUGUUGCACAGGAAACAACAUUACAUAAUAAAAAUAUUCUUUGAGUUCUUAUUAUGGACUGACAAGGUACUGUAGCUUAGGGUUGUGUGUCAGAUUGAUAUAUUAUGGAAACCCCGCUCCCGAGCAGGCCUAGUACAAGAAUUAGUAAAACUUAUUGUUAAGCAAAAUGGUUUGCACGUCACUAACUUGGUAUAGAUCCACAAGAAAACACUAACAUUGCUGAGAAUAGCUUCGGAUGCAAUACAGUCCAGAAAAUCACGUCUCUUCCAUCCUGCCCUCAUUUUGUUGCAUGUCCUUCUCAUUUUCUAAAAUUGCUCAAAGAUACAAGUUCUUUUGCAGGGACAAACGGGAGAAAGUAGCAUGUACUGAAGUUGAUCUAGGAUGUUCUGUUGUUCAUAUGGAAGUUGAUAUCGGCUUGAUCAAAGACCGGGUAUCUCCCAUAAUAUUUUGUAGUAGCCAAGUGAUCGAACAUUUGGUCUCUUGAGAACUUGCUCAUCAUAUUUUGUAACUGGCCAUGACCUGAAUGUCGACUUGUAUUUUUCCUUAAUGGCUGGAGCUAACUUGAGUGAAGAAAACUAGUGAAUCUUCUAUAUACUAGAUGACCCGUUGCGCCAAUGGUGCAAAGGCCGAAUGUAAGCCAGGUAUUGUAAGAAUGUGCAUUAACAUA